rnacentral:rRNA from 1 species
CCUACGGGAGGCAGCAGUGAGGAAUAUUGGUCAAUGGACGCAAGUCUGAACCAGCCAUGCCGCGUGCAGGAAGACGGCUCUAUGAGUUGUAAAUUGCUUUUGUACGAGGGUAAACGCAGAUACGCGUAUCUUUCUGAACGUAUCGUACGAAUAAGGAUCGACUAACUCCGUGCCAGCAGCCGCGGUAAUACGGAGGAUUCAAGCGUUAUCCGGAUUUAUUGGGUUUAAAGGGUGCGUAGGCGGUCGGAUAAGUUAGAGGUGAAAUCCCGGGGCUCAACUUCGGAAUUGCCUCUGAUACUGGUAGGCUAGAGAGUAGUUGCGGUAGGCGGAAUGUAUGGUGUAGCGGUGAAAUGCUUAGAGAUCAUACAGAACACCGAUUGCGAAGGCAGCUUACCAAGCUACGUCUGACGUUGAGGCACGAAAGCGUGGGGAGCAAACAGGAUUAGAUACCCGAGUAGUC